rnacentral:lncRNA from 1 species
ACGACGACUUUUUCCACGCCUGAAACGUAUUCCUGCUCUCUUGAGCUCCAUGGCUGAACGAUAUGAGCACCACUCACCCCUUAGAUAGCAUCCUCCUUCUGAGAAAACAUUUGGGUCUAUGAGUUGCGUUCUUAAUAUCUCAAGCAGAUGAGCAGGAUUUUCUUCUUUGAUCAGGUAAGGCCCUUCUCCUUCACAAAUCUUGCCAAAGAAAUCAAGAAAGACAUCCUUGAUACUUUGAAUUAAUCCAUGAUUUUGAGGGGGCUUUGCAUGUGCACUGGAGAUGAACGUUUUAAUCAUUCUCAUUCCUUCAUCUUUCUUGAACCUACAGCUCAUUAACACAUGCAGGACUUCAAAAGGUAGCUGAUUUUCAAGUAAGAAAGAUCACGACGAAUGAAAGCUAUAUCAUGACUCUUCAUUUGCAGCUUCUUAUAAUUGCCAGUGACAAGGCAGAGAAUAUAUUGGAGAAUGAAACAGCCAUCCAGGAACAUCAUCUGUGCAAACUCCUCAUUGCUGUAAUCUUUAAUCAAGUCCAGAGCAUAACACUCCCUGACAUUAGGCACAAUGUUCUUCACCUUUUUGUAAAGCUCAUCAAUGGACACUGAUUUUGUUAAAAGCCGUGAUAAGACCCCAGCAGAUUUUGGUUCGGUGCUUUCUUGAUCAGCAAACUGAAUUGCCAUCAUCUCCUUGUACUUCUCCAUAGGUUGAAGCUUGGAUUUUCCAUGGUGAAAUGGACCGAGAGCAACCACAAGGGGCUCAUAGCAUCUUACAUUUGAUUCAAUCUCGCGAUGCAUUUUGGGGACCAUGUGUAUCUUUGGCUUCUGUGAUGAGCCAAUGGUGGGGUACUCUCUGCUCUUCUCCAAUGAUUUUAGCCAUUGUCUCUCAUUUUCACUGAUUUCAUGAGAAUCUGAGUUUGACUCUUGAAUUGUAAUGUUGCAUUCAUCUUGAUUACCAGAAAUCUUUUCAUUGCCAAUGCACCUACCUUCUUCUCUA